CUCUGGGGGUUUCAAGCCCCAGGUAGAAGUGUUCCCUGCCUCAUUACUGGGAAGCAGCAUCCACACAGGGGCUAACCCAGCCUGGGACCCUGUGUGCCAGCACUUACUCUGUUGUGUAGCACAUGUGACAAUGAAGGACGGAUGUAUCACCUUGAUGAUUAUGCUGUUGGGGUCCUGAUUCCAGCAUUCAUGAGUCAGGGGAAGGUCCCUGCUAAGGACAGACCUCAGGAGGGCAGUUGGUCCAGGACACACAGCUGCUUUCCUCCUGUUCCCUGAUCCUGCCCUGGGUCUGUAGUCAUCAUUCUGGAAAUUUCUCUUGGGUCCAAGACUAGGAGGUUCCUCUAAGAUCUUAUGACCCUGCUUCCUCCCAGCCUCCUCACAGGACAUUUUCUUCCCACAGGUGGAAAAGGAGGGAGCUACUCUCAGGCUGCGUCCAGCGACAGUGCCCAGGGAUCUGAUGUGUCUCUCACGGCUUCAAAAGCCUGAGAGAGCUGUCUUGUGUGGAACUGAGAAGCAGGAUUUCUUCACGCCUCCCUUUUGAAGACACUCCGGCAUCUCUUUCUGCAAAGGCAUCUGAAUGUGUCUGCAUCCCUGUUAGCAUAAUGUGAGGAGGUGGAGGGACAGCCCACCCCCGUGUCCACCGUGACCCCUGUUCCCACGCUGACCUGUGUUUCCUCCCCAGUCAUCUUUCCUGUUCCAGAGAGGUG